rnacentral:tRNA from 1 species
GCCCUCGUGAUGUAGCCAGGAUAUCAUAGGGGGUUGCGGACCCCCUUACCCGGGUUCAAAUCCCGGCGAGGGCA